UACGUAGGAUGCGAGCGUUAAUCGGAAUUACUGGGCGUAAAGCGUGCGCAGGCGGUUUUGUAAGCCAGAUGUGAAAUCCCCGGGCUUAACCUGGGAAUGGCAUUUGGGACUGCAAGGCUGGAGUGUGGCAGAGGAGACUGGAAUUCCUGGUGUAGCAGUGAAAUGCGUAGAUAUCAGGAGGAAUACCGAUGGCGAAGGCAGGUCUCUGGGCUAACACUGACGCUCAUGCACGAAAGCGUGGGGAGCAAACAGG
rnacentral:rRNA from 1 species